rnacentral:rRNA from 1 species
GGACGAACGCUGGCGGCGUGCUUCAUACAUGCAAGUCGAACGAUAAGGUCUCUUCGGAGAUACAUAAGUGGCGGACGGGUGAGUAAAAUGUAGAGAAUCUGCCCUAGAGCGGGGGAUAACGGAGGGAAACUUCUGCUAAUACCCCAUAUGCGCGUAGUUGAGAUACUAUACGUGAAAACUCCGGUGCUCUAGGAUGAGUCUGCAUCUGAUUAGCUAGUUGGCGGUGUAAUGGACCACCAAGGCGACGAUCAGUAGCUGGUUUGAGAGGAUGAUCAGCCACAAUGGGACUGAGACACGGCCCAUACUCCUACGGGAGGCAGCAGUAGGGAAUUUUGCGCAAUGGGGGAAACCCUGACGCCAGCAACGCCGCGUGACCGAUGAAGCCCUUCGGGGUGUAAAGGUCUGUCAGUGGGGACGAAACUUGACGGUACCCACAGAGGAAGCAUCGGCUAACUCCGUGCCAGCAGCAGC